UUAGAGUUUGGAUCCUGGCUCAGAUUGAACGCUGGCGGCAGGCCUAACACAUGCAAGUCGAGCGGAUGAAGGGAGCUUGCUCCUGGAUUCAGCGGCGGACGGGUGAGUAAUGCCUAGGAAUCUGCCUGGUAGUGGGGGAUAACGUCCGGAAACGGGCGCUAAUACCGCAUACGUCCUGAGGGAGAAAGUGGGGGAUCUUCGGACCUCACGCUAUCAGAUGAGCCUAGGUCGGAUUAGCUAGUUGGUGGGGUAAAGGCCUACCAAGGCGACGAUCCGUAACUGGUCUGAGAGGAUGAUCAGUCACACUGGAACUGAGACACGGUCCAGACUCCUACGGGAGGCAGCAGUGGGGAAUAUUGGACAAUGGGCGAAAGCCUGAUCCAGCCAUGCCGCGUGUGUGAAGAAGGUCUUCGGAUUGUAAAGCACUUUAAGUUGGGAGGAAGGGCAGUAAGUUAAUACCUUGCU
rnacentral:rRNA from 1 species